rnacentral:rRNA from 1 species
GCAAGUCGAACGAAGUAGCCUAAUGAAGACCGAGUGCUGCACAAAGUCAGAUUUAGAUUUCUACUUAGUGGCAGACGGGUGAGUAACACGUGGGUAACCUACCUCAGAGACUGGGAUAACAAUUAGAAAUGAUUGCUAAUACCGGAUGAUUCAUAGUUAGAUAACUAAUUAUGCUAAAAGAAGCGUUUGCUUCACUUUGAGAUGGGCUUGCGUUGUAUUAGUUAGUUGGUGGGGUAAUGGCCUACCAAGACAACGAUGCAUAUCCGAGCUGAGAGGCUGAUCGGACACACUGGGACUGAGACACGGCCCAGACUCCUACGGGAGACAGCAGUUAGGAAUAUUCGUCAAUGGGGGAAACCCUGAACGAGCAAUGCCGCGUGAGUGAUGAAGGUCUUAUAGAUUGUAAAACUCUGUUGUAGAGAAAGAAACCUUAAGAUAGGAAAUGAUCUUAAGCUGACGGUACUCUACCAGAAAGCCCCGGCUAACUACGUGCCAGCAGCCGC